CGUCCGAUCCGAAGCAGGUUUGAAACUGGGGGUUGGGCUCGGCCCUCGUUGUCUGUCGCUGAGGGCCCUCUUCCGGGCUAGGCCGUCCGUGCCCGCCCCCGCCCCGCCUCCCUUCGGACCCCUGGGUUCCAGGCCCGGCUCCCUUCCCGAUUCGCGCCCCCGCCCUCCUCAGCCCGCUGCCGUCCCGGUCCGCACUGCGGCCCCGCCGCCGCCACCAUGUCCCUGCACGGAAAACGGAAGGAGAUCUACAAGUAUGAAGCGCCCUGGACCGUCUACGCCAUGAACUGGAGCGUGCGGCCCGACAAGCGCUUUCGCCUGGCGCUGGGCAGCUUCGUGGAGGAGUACAACAACAAGGAAAGUGGGAAGAAUAAGAGUACCUACCUCAUGGAGAUGUUGAGAGGAUUAAAUGAGGUCCAGCUUGUUGGUUUAGACGAAGAGAGUUCGGAGUUUAUUUGCCGGAACACCUUCGACCAUCCGUACCCCACCACAAAGCUCAUGUGGAUCCCUGACACAAAAGGCGUCUAUCCAGACCUGCUGGCGACGAGCGGCGACUAUCUUCGCGUGUGGAGGGUUGGUGAAACAGAGACCAGGCUGGAAUGUUUGCUAAACAAUAACAAGAACUCGGAUUUCUGUGCUCCUCUGACCUCCUUUGACUGGAAUGAGGUGGAUCCUUAUCUUUUAGGUACCUCCAGCAUUGACACGACGUGUACCAUAUGGGGGCUGGAGACCGGGCAGGUGUUGGGGCGAGUGAAUCUUGUGUCCGGCCAUGUGAAGACCCAGCUGAUUGCCCAUGACAAAGAGGUCUAUGAUAUUGCAUUUAGCCGGGCCGGGGGUGGCAGGGACAUGUUUGCCUCUGUGGGUGCUGAUGGCUCGGUGCGGAUGUUUGACCUCCGUCAUCUGGAACACAGCACCAUCAUUUACGAAGACCCACAGCAUCACCCACUGCUUCGCCUCUGCUGGAACAAGCAGGACCCCAACUACCUAGCCACCAUGGCCAUGGACGGAAUGGAGGUAGUGAUUCUGGACGUUCGAGUUCCCUGCACGCCUGUCGCCAGGUUAAACAACCACCGAGCAUGUGUCAAUGGCAUUGCUUGGGCCCCACAUUCAUCCUGCCACAUCUGUACUGCAGCGGAUGACCAUCAGGCUCUCAUCUGGGACAUCCAGCAAAUGCCCCGGGCCAUCGAGGACCCUAUCCUGGCCUACACAGCCGAGGGAGAGAUCAACAACGUGCAGUGGGCGUCGACUCAGCCCGACUGGAUUGCCAUCUGCUACAACAACUGCCUGGAGAUACUCAGAGUGUAGUGUCGGUGGCGCCGUGCCCAUGAGGCAGGGGCUUGUGUGUUUCCCGCCUCUGUCCCACCCCCAAAACUCCCAGCCCUGUCACCCUCCUUAGGCCCUGCAGUGUGGUCUGGUCCUCUUCCUUUCAACAUCCCACCUGGGCCCAGAACUUUCUCCCUGCUGCAGCCUGGGCCUUGAAUUUCUAGGCUGUAAGGUAUGUAGGAGCUGCAGGGUCUACCAACCACGGGAGGCCAGCCUAGUUACUUCCCUCCACCGUCCCCAGCUCCUUUGACUGCUGACUUGGGAGAAGGGAGACCAUUAAAGUAGAAGCCCCAAAGCAGCCUCUUCCCUUUCCUGUCUGCGCUCCAGGAUGAGGAGGGAGGAUCAUGCUUGGCACUGAAGUUGGGUUUUCCCUGGGAGGAAAGCUGAGCUGAGCAGUCACUGUGAACCCUGGGCCAGGCUCUCCAAGAAUUGCCAUCCCUGUACUGGCUGGGCCAGCUACUCAGUGUUGCAGAGCCUCACCCUCUUUUCCCACCGUUGUCAUUGCUGCUAGUGGUCAAAGUCAAAUGUCUGGCCACAUGGGAUGGGCCAGCUCCUCUCAGGCUACUUCCUGGAUGUGAUUUUUAAGUAUAGAAACAUGCAGGUGCCUUCCCAAGAGGCUUGGACUGGUGUAUCAGGCCAGAAACAGAUAAGCUAAUCAAAGUAUAAACUCAAGAGGAAGGAGGAUGCUGGCAGUCUGUGUAAGAGCUGGAAAACUUACAAGUACUGGCCUUUGGGAAAACCCAGUGAAUAAGAACUUGUGAUACCUGCUAUUUAAAAGAAUGUUCUCACCUUGGGUUGAUUGUGGUAAUACAGUGUGUUAUGAAACUUGUGGAGCUAAAGCUUUGACUUGCUUGAGUCGAAUAUGGAUCAUUUGAUAUGGUUCCUGUGUAUUUGAUGACCCCUCUUUCAAUGAUUUUCCAUCCUUCCUCCCCCGAGCGUGAAUUUGUAGCAUGAUUGUACAAAUCUCUAUGUAGAGAAAAUGGAGAUUCCUUGUUCUCUGAAGUGUUAAGCGUUAGCCAAUCCAUUUCUGUCCCCUUUAGCCUAAUGUGUCUGAACUGAAUUUCCUGUUAUAUAUUUAAAGUUUUCCUCUACAUUAUAGGUUUUGUGGCAUCCCAUGGUCAGGUGGAGAGGAAGCUGCCCCUUGCAGAACUGUACUGUAACCAUUUUUUUAAAAAAAAACAUUAUUUUCACAGGAUUGAUUAUACACAGGGCUUGUAAAAAAAUUUUUAACACUGUGCUGUGAAACCAUGAUGGUAAAUCUCCAUUGAAGGCUACUUCAAAGGCACCUGAAAGUGGAGUGUUAUAUCUAUGAUUUUAUUUCUUGCUUCCUGAGUAUAUUAAACCUAAUUUUCACCCUUUCAUUCUG